AGCUUUGCUCAGUGGUAGCAUCAUAGCCAAUGAGGUUAAUCUGAGAUUUGAUUAUUGCUAAUUGAAAACUUAUCCCAUUUGG